UACGUAGGGUCCAAGCGUUGUCCGGAGUUACUGGGCGUAAAGCGCGCGCAGGCGGCGGUGCUGGCCCGGCGUGAAAGCCCCCGGCUCAACCGGGGAGGGUCGUCGGGGACCGCACCGCUUGAGGGCGGUAGGGGCUGGUGGAAUGCCUGGUGUAGUGGUGAAAUGCGUAGAGAUCAGGAGGAACACCAAUGGCGAAGGCAGCACUCUGGGACGUGACUGACGCUGAGACGCGAAAGCGUGGGGAGCGAACAGG
rnacentral:rRNA from 1 species